rnacentral:rRNA from 1 species
UACGGGGGGGGCAAGCGUUGUUCGGAAUUACUGGGCGUAAAGGGCUCGUAGGUGGCCAACUAAGUCAGACGUGAAAUCCCUCGGCUUAACCGGGGAACUGCGUCUGAUACUGGCAGGCUUGAAUCCGGGAGAGGGAUGCGGAAUUCCAGGUGUAGCGGUGAAAUGCGUAGAUAUCUGGAGGAACACCGGUGGCGAAGGCGGCAUCCUGGACCGGCAUUGACGCUGAGGCGCGAAAGCCAGGGGAGCAAACGGG